rnacentral:rRNA from 1 species
UACAGAGGGUGCAAGCGUUGUUCGGAAUUAUUGGGCGUAAAGCGCGUGUAGGCGGCUUUGCAAGUCGGGUGUGAAAGCCCUCGGCUCAACCGAGGAAGUGCGCCCGAAACUGCAGAGCUUGAGUACCGGAGAGGAUGGCGGAAUUCCCCAAGUAGAGGUGAAAAUUCGUAGAUAUGGGGAGGAACACCGGUGGCGAAGGCGGCCAUCUGGACGGAUACUGACGCUGAGACGCGAAAAGCGUGGGGGAGCGAACAGG